GACCUAAAUUUAGAAUUUUAUCCUAAAUUAUAACGCUUAUUGGAGUGGUAACCGACUAAAAUAUCCGGAGCCCGUGAUCACUCUAUUCAUGGAUCUCUCUUCUCGUUCGUUGCAUCUUAAAAUUUUCCCGCACUUUCUCUCUUCCCCUCGCCUGGUUUUUGGCCAUGUGUCCUUUCUUUUCCUUCAGACACCUCGUGAUAAGAAUCCUAAGCUCAUUCCAAGAGCUCUGAAAGGGUGGCAUGAGUACGAGGAUGCAGUGAAGCGAAAAGACGUCGCCAGAGCUCUCAGAUUCUUGAGAUCCCUAGAAGCCGAUAAGAAUAAGGAUAAUUCAGCUGACAAGGUUAAUGGGUUCUUAUCGUCUGGCCCGACUCGGGCUGGUAUCAGUGAGCUGGGGUUGUUUGACGGGUCACAAAGGGAUUGGGAGGUUUUGGACGCUUGUUUGAAUGCUGAUGAUAUGAGGCUUGUGGGUAGUGCUUAUGGGUUCCUCAAGAACAGGGGUUUCUUGCCCAGUUUUGGAAAAUUCAGCAACAUUGUUUUGGAGGGACCCAGAGAUGUGACCCCGACUGUAUUCAAGUCUUCAACUGGUUUAGAAGUGUCCAAAUUUGCUCCAAAGAAGUGGGGCCUUUCUGGAACUUCAAGAUUUGCCUUGGUUGCUUUUCUCGGCGGGGUAUCUUUUCUGCUUUCACAAGGGAUUGAUAUCAGAACUAACCUUGCGGCCAUUUUAGGACUGGCCUUUAUGGACUCUAUUUUCCUUGGAGGUACCUCUUUAGCUCAAAUUUCAAGUUACUGGCCUCCAUACAAGCGUCGAAUUUUAAUUCAUGAAGCAGGUCAUCUUCUGGUAGCUUACCUUAUGGGUUGCCCAAUUCGUGGUGUGAUUUUGGACCCAAUUAUUGCAAUGCAAAUGGGCAUUCAAGGCCAGGCAGGAACUCAGUUUUGGGAUGAAAAGAUGAGUAACGAGCUUGCUGAAGGACGACUCAGUGGCACUACCUUUGACAGGUAGGUAUGAUGUGUGCAUUCUUAUUUGAGGUUACUUGACAAUGACAUGUGUUCUUUUGGUUGGCAACAGCUGAAAGAAUGGUUUCUACGAUUGCGAUUAGAAGUAUAACCCCUUUUUCUUAUUAGCAUUAUUCAUCUGAAUUAGAUCACCCUAAUGAGAAAUGUGAAGUGGCUAUUUUGUAUGAGACACUGAAACUAGGAUUCUGGGCUUCUAGUCUUCAAAAUGCUAUGCAGUUGAUAGCCAACCGCCUAGCUGCCAUUUUGUGCCUGGUCACCUUGCCAAUGAAAGGUGGUCAGAAGGGUGAUUUGAAAAAACUAUUUUAACUGGAUUACUUUUUUUUUUCCCCUGCCCUGCAUCUGUGAGUGACUGGGUGUGUUGUAAUCUAACUCAGUAGAAAAAGGUACUCAUAUGUUCAUUAAUAUCAAUCUCUGGUGUGAAUUUGCCAUGACAGCUGGCAUGAUAUGAUGGUCAGGUACUGCAUGGUGCUUUUUGCUGGCAUUGCAGCUGAGGCUCUUGUUUAUGGAGAGGCAGAGGGUGGAGAAAAUGAUGAAAAUCUAUUUAGGAGCAUCUGUGUUCUUAUGCAACCCCCAUUAUCUGUAGCCAAGAUGUCAAAUCAAGCAAGGUGGUCAGUUCUGCAGUCCUACAAUCUGCUAAAAUGGCAGAGGCAUGCUCAUCGGGCUGCUGUCAAAGCUCUGGAAAGUGGUAGUAGUUUAAGUGUUGUAAUUAGGAGAAUUGAGGAAGCUAUGUCUUCUGCUACGUGAAAUGUAGAUGGUGGGAAAAAGGCAUCAACAAUUUGAUGGUGGGAUGAUACUUCAUCCAUCGCCCCUAAUGAAUUUCCCCAAUAAAACAUAAAACAAUCAGCUGGGCAAUGGAAGGAAGGCAGGCAGAAUCUUGUGGCACUGUUUGUUACCAUACUUGUCAACCAAGGCACUCCAGAAAUUGAUCUGAAGAUGAUAUUUUAUGCCUCUGUCUCUCCCUCCCAUUUAUCUUUAAAUGUGGUUAUGAAAAACAGCAAAUGAAUGCUUUUGUGGAAGGUGAGAGUAGAGCACGGAGAGCCUUUAAUGGACUGGAAGCAACUUGCUUGAAUCUGGUUUUCGCUCUGAAAGUAUAUCUAAUAUCAUCUUUAGUUAAUGCAAUGCAUGCAGGUCAAUGUUAAAUUUAAUCUAUUUGCAACUCGUCACAUUUUCAACUUGAAUCGCGAUUCUCUCGUAUUCCUCAGCAAGCACGUUUACAAUAAUUACGUAUGCCUUUCUCAGAAAUUGUAAAACCAGUUGCGGUUCUAAGGGAGGUUGCUUCGUUGUUGACCUGAACUAUUGGGAGGCUAGUCUUGGAACAUUAUUAUUUCCAAUCUUUGAACUUGAUUACAAUCAAGCGGUACCUGUUAUAUACAGUUAUACCCAUUCUUGAAUGAAAUGGAAAAUGACCUGCUAAUGUUAGGGUGCGGGAAUACCUUAAAACUAAGAUCUUUUUUGUGGAAUGUGAA
rnacentral:misc_RNA from 1 species